rnacentral:misc_RNA from 1 species
GGAAUAUAGCAAUUUCAUUGCUAAUAUGACUGAAGUCAAGAAAAGCUUCAUGCUGCCUUGCUCAGGCCUAGGAAGUGUAGUUAGUUUGGUUGUUUGUUUUGUGCAAUUAACACUUUAUCAGGUUGUACACUUAGCUUGGAAUUAUGUCUGAACAUUUUAACGAUAGAGAAUUGGUUGGCAUUAUUUCUGUGUCUCAACUUCUUAUCUUUUAUAAGUCAAUCUAUGUUGUAACUGCUUUUACGUGAAUAAAAGAUCUGCUCUUCUCUGUCUCAACUUUUUAACAAUAGAGAAUGGGUUGGCAUAUUUUUAUGCUCUCUGGAGCAGUAUCAUUGAUAGGUGAGGAUUCAGACAUCUAAUUAUGAGGUAACAUGAAUUUAUAAUUUUUUAAGACAAUCUAUGUUGUCCCUACUUUUAGGUAAAUAAAAAAUCAAAAGCUUUAAUCAAGCUGAGCCAAUCUCAUCUUAUGUUAAGCAACGGUUGAACCUAGAGCUUGGCUUUUGGCCUUUUGUUUUUGCGUUGUCUCAUCUUAUAUGGUUAUCAAUCACCAAGUCAGGUCAGAUUAUUGUUCACCUAACUGGAUGCUUGAGGUAUCUCAUUAAGUAGUCUUUGAAACUUUGUGGCUUUUUGUUGGAUCCAAGAAAUAAGUCAAUAAAUUACAGCCUAUAUCAACCUAGCUAUAUAUGUGACUGUACUGUGUUUCACUUUUCAUUUGCAGAAAUUGCUAAUUUUCAACAUUUGUUUAAUGUGUGUGCAUUACAGUUUGUGAUUUAAAAGUUGAGUUUUUUACAGGUUUUCCUGGAGAUUAAAGGU